AUUUCGUACCCGCUUACCAAGCUUCUACACUCCCGGGCGUUUGUGGAGGAGCGCGGGAAAGAAGAAGAAACCAUUGGCCUCAGAUUAAGUGAGCCAUCUGGAAGAUUUUGAAACUGAUAUUUCAAGGUAAACGUGACCGUCCAUUCACAAAGACGUUCAUGAACUUGCGGGAACGGGGCAUGUCUGAGGUGGUGUCUGUGGUGGAGUCCCCUGACAAACAGGAAGUGUCUCUCCUCAUGCCCCUCGCUCCCGACUCUUCCUCCUCUUCAUCCACUUCCUGAUCCUCCUCAUCCUCAUCGAUGGCAGACUCAUAGACGGCUUGCGGGUUUCAGCCCACUUACUUGUGUCCCCUGCGUCGCUGAGGCUGACAGUCCGGCAUGGGGGUGUGGGUGGGUACACCUCAUCUUCCUCGCUAAUGGAGGGGUUCGGACAACCCGC